CGUAACAAGGUUUCCGUAGGUGAACCUGCGGAAGGAUCAUUACCGUGCCUAUUGAAGGGAAUACACUGUGAACUGUACGUGCAACUAGUGGGGUAUCUUCUUGAGAAGAUUUGAAUGUAGCUUAGCAUUAGUUACAGCCCCACUACAUAUGAAACAUUUCUAUAUACUAUAUUCCAACUGUGCCGUUAUUGGCAGUGCGGAAAACGAAGUGAAAACUUCUAACGGUGGAUCUCUUGGCUCGUGUAUCGAUGAAGAACGUAGCCAGUUGCGAUAAGUAGUGUGAAUUGCAGAAUGAAGUGAAUCAUCGAAUCUUUGAACGCAAAUUGCACUCUCUGGAUCUCCGGGGAGUAUGUCUGUCUGAGUGUCGUGCUGUAAACUAAACACACACUUGUGUGUGUUGCUUGGGAGUUCUUUUUUCUCGCAAAAAAGUCUCUCGAUGUUCGUCGGUGCGAUGUUCAUCAGUGGUGAACAGAAAGCUCAACUUGCUUCUGUCUUUCUGUCACUCUGUGAACUUGCUGUGAACACGGAGAGCUUGUCUCUCAAUACAUACGACCCUUGACCUCAGAUCAGGCAAGAUUACCCGCUGAAUUUAAGCAUAUUAAUAAGCGGAGGAAAAGAAACUAACAAGGAUUCCCUUAGUAACGGCGAGUGAAGCGGGAAUAGCUCAAGCUUGAAAUCCCUGUUGCUUGCAACAGAGAAUUGUAGUCUAUGGAAGUAUUGUCAAGGCAAUGUGUUGUUGCUCAAGUCACUUGGAACGGUGUGUCGU
rnacentral:rRNA from 1 species